rnacentral:rRNA from 1 species
CAGUGGGGAAUUUUGGACAAUGGGGGCAACCCUGAUCCAGCAAUGCCGCGUGUGUGAAGAAGGCCUUCGGGUUGUAAAGCACUUUUGUCCGGAAAGAAAUCCUUCGAGAUAAUACCUUGAGGGGAUGACGGUACCGGAAGAAUAAGCACCGGCUAACUACGUGCCAGCAGCCGCGGUAAUACGUAGGGUGCAAGCGUUAAUCGGAAUUACUGGGCGUAAAGCGUGCGCAGGCGGUGAUGUAAGACCGAUGUGAAAUCCCCGGGCUUAACCUGGGAACUGCAUUGGUGACUGCAUCGCUGGAGUAUGGCAGAGGGGGGUAGAAUUCCACGUGUAGCAGUGAAAUGCGUAGAGAUGUGGAGGAAUACCGAUGGCGAAGGCAGCCCCCUGGGCCAAUACUGACGCUCAUGCACGAAAGCGUGGGGAGCAAACAGGAUUAGA